GUGGGGAAUUUUGCGCAAUGCUCGAGAGAGUGACGCAGCGACGCCGCGUGAAUGACGAAGGCCUUCGGGUCGUAAAGUUCUUUCGACAGGGAAGAAUGUGCAUAUUAGUAACUGAGUAUGCAGUGACGGUACCUGUAUAAGCAGCCCCGGCUAACUCCGUGCCAGCAGCCGCGGUAAUACGGAGGGGGCGAGCGUUGUUCGGAGUGACUGGGCGUAAAGAGCACGUAGGCGGUGUUGUAAGUCAUUAGUCAAAGGCUAGAGCUCAACUUUAGUAAGGCUAGUGAUACUAUAAUACUAGAGUAUCAGAGAGGAUUGCAGAAUUCCUGGUGUAGCGGUGAAAUGCGUAGAUAUCAGGAGGAAUACCGGUAGCGAAGGCGGCAAUCUGGCUGGAAACUGACGCUGAGGUGCGAAAGCGUGGGUAGCAAACAGGAUUAGAAACCCUAGUAGUCC
rnacentral:rRNA from 1 species